UUAAGUAUCCCAAAAGACUUGAAGUUCGUUGUGACAAGGUGCUCUUUGUAAUAAAAUUUACUCCAAUAUUGUAUCGUACAAAGGAUAGAUACAUUUUCUGUGGUGCCACUUUACCUGCAGUGUUUAUGGUUCUGUUAUAACCCUUUCCAUGGUCUCAAAGUUCUAGUGCCUUCCAUUUACCCCUGGGUUUAUAGAAUCUCCAUCAUUUUCCUGUGGAGUAUUUCUGGAAYGCUUGUGAAGAGAGCUGGAAAAAGCAAAGUAUUCAGAGCAAUGGGCAGUAUCRGGUAGAGCAGAGCUCACCUGAGUGCACCAGCCAUUUCAGAUAACCUGGUGGAUGCUGCUGAAAUGGACACACGUGGUGCUGGGCACGUGCAGGUGUGAUGGGCACCUUCCCACCCGUGAGCACUGGCCAUGCUGGGAUCUCCAGGCUGCAGGUGUGAGCUCCUUUAUUCAGAGACUCUUAAGAAGUCCUGCAGUUACGGAUGCCACACGCACCAAGUUGCAACCUUGGAGRCCCACUGCUCGCCAGCAGGCUGAUGACAGACGAGAGCAAUGCUGCUCACCCACCACAGCUUUCUGCCUGACCCGGCCCCCGAGGAUUUUUGGCAUACUGAUCUUGACCUCUCUUUCCUGUCCUCUCAGCUGUUACUUCACAGUGCCCUUGGGCUAGCUGAAUUUAUCCUUGCUGAUGGCAUUUUAGUUCCCUGCCCUGGUGGUGAUGUUGAGYGUGGGCUUUUAGUCUUGGGGUAGAUCUUGGAACUGCAAAUCAAAAUUGCACAUCCCUGCUUCUAUUAGCAGCUUUGCCGAGGUCCAGAAGUUGCUGGAAGCSUGUUAUUCUCCACCAUUUACUGGCUGUGAACUAUGUAGAUACUCAUAUUUUUAAUUUCCUUUCAUUUAGUGGUGUGUGCAGGACCUCAGUUAUGACCAGCAGGGAACACUCUUCUGGUACAGAGCGGCAAUUCAAUGUCUGUGCCAACCCUGGCUUGUAAAAAGCCUGGCAGCGCUUGACAAACAAAGCCUAGAAAUGUUGCUAUUAAAAGCAUUUAUUGAAUAAAUCCAUAUGUGACAAAAUGAUAGCU